rnacentral:rRNA from 1 species
UACGGAGGAUGCGAGCGUUAUCCGGAUUUAUUGGGUUUAAAGGGUGCGCAGGCGGAAGAUCAAGUCAGCGGUAAAAUUGAGAGGCUCAACCUCUUCGAGCCGUUGAAACUGGUUUUCUUGAGUGAGCGAGAAGUAUGCGGAAUGCGUGGUGUAGCGGUGAAAUGCAUAGAUAUUACACAGAACACCGAUUGCGAAGGCAGCUUGCUAGGCCGGAUCUGACACUGAUGCACGAAAGCGUGGGGAUCGAACAGG